AUUGAUUCAGGGAUGUUCCACACAGGCAACAGGAACCCAACUUCAACCUCUACUUGGCAGAAACUGUAUUUUUCUCUCAAACUGCACAGGGCUGGUGUUCGGAUCAGCAUUUCUAAUUGUUGUUUUUACAAUCCCAGCAGUGCCCUGUAGAAACGACAGUAGCUCUGUGAAAGGCCAAAGAUGAUUGCAUCCGCCUUCUCCUCUCUCACGUCUCC
rnacentral:lncRNA from 1 species